GAUUAACCGGUUCUGGACUCGACUGCAACAACUGAACCGACUAACCGGCUGAGUAAUCCAGAGAGAUUAAUCUAAUCUGUAAUCUCCAUGUUAACAACUAACAUGGUUCUGGUUCAGGUCCUGGUUCUGGUCCUGGUCCUGGUCCUGGUCCUGGUCCUGGUCCUGGUUCUGGUCCUGGACUCUAAACUGGAACCUGAAACAUUCCGACAUUUAACAUAAAAACUCGAUGAUGUCAUUAGCAUGUUGUGACGUCACAGGGCUGAUUCUGUGGCGCCGUUUUCAAAACCUGCUGCGCAAAACAGACAGAAUACUUUCGUCUUACAGGUUCGUCUUUGAAGAGACGAAACAGGAAGUGAAGCUGGAAAGGUGAUUGGUCCGAAAGCAGCCGCGCUGCUGCGAUUGGUCAGGGAAGAAGGAAAAACAGGAAACGAGAAGCUGAUUGGUCAGUUUGUGACCAAUCAGAACAACAAACUGGAAUAACUUCACCAACAUCGUUAUUCCCACUCGGAUCGUUGGGCUUUUCUGAAAUAUGCUAAUAAUUUUCCUGUCCAUUCCUGGAUCUGUGCCUUACCAGAGGCAUGAAACAUUCCAGAGGUUCAGUAAAAUGUUCCUGCCAGAUGGACGGAAACGUAGCGAAUGUCCCUGAAACGUCCUCUGUCCUCCGUCCUCCGUCCUCUGUCCAGAUUCUGGUUGCUACAUGGAUAUUAAAGUGUUAGAAUUUUAAUGCUUUUAAUCACUUUAUUAAUUUAUUUUUUUUACAAACAUCGGUUCCACCCAGAACUUUUGUGUUUCUGGUACGCCUGAACAUCUGACGGACAAGCUACAUCCGCUAACAGUGAUGGCCGACGGAC